rnacentral:lncRNA from 1 species
AGGGCUGCUGUCCAACAUUCAAGGGCACAGCUCAGUGACCUGAAUUCUCUCUCCUAGGUGCCACCUCUUAAAGCUUCCACCAGAGACCGGGGACCUCGCCUUCAAACCACGAUCCUUCUGGGGACAUCACGGAUGAUCCAAACAUGGCUGGGGAGCUGUAAGGGAAGGGGUAGUGGGCAUUUGCAUCUGACGCAUAUAAGGGGGUAUGGGAAGACCUCAUCCUCGGGGCACAAGGAGGUUGCCGGCUGAGGACAGUGUGGUGUGGCCAGGAGUGGACGAACCAACCCUGCAGCUGGCAGGGCCCAGCAAGAUCCCGGGCGUGGAGCCCAUGCCUGAAAAUCAGCUCAUCCAGCAACAGUUCCGCGUGUGCAGACUUGGGCCUGCUCGGAAACGCUGAAAGCCCUACCCACCUUGUCAUGAUGAACUCGUUAACAUGCGCCCCCUUCCACAUCAAAUGCAACUUUGUAGUACUUUGUAUCACUAUAUAUAAGCCAAAUUACAGUUGCUUGUUUGACUUAAAAUACAUCUUAUAGGGGCCGAGGUAGAGCCCUGCUUAGCAUGUGCAUGGGCCUGGGUUAAUCCCCAACCCCUACCCAUUUUAUAGAUACAUAAUACAACAAUGUUGACUUUCCUUUCACGUUAGAAUCAAUAUUUCCUCCA